UUCCGGGCCGGUUCCUUCAAGACUGGUUCCCGGGUGUUGCUCCCUCUGAUGCCUUAUUCUGGAUGCUCCUUCCUCGGCAGAGCUGGACGAACUUCCUCACUGAACCUGGCCCCGGCUGCUCUUGGUGCGGAUGCGGCACCGCCUCUUGCUCGGGCUUCCCGGGCCAGUUCAGAGCCGAAGCCCCCGGCGGUUGACUUUCUCCGUUGGAACGAGGGGUGGAAACGGGGAAAGGGGCGGUCGAGGGUAGUGACCCAUGACCCCUGUUCCCUUUCCUCCUGUCUCGUCUUUCAUGAUCCACGAAUUCUGGGCAAUGGCACUCUUUACACUCCUUGGGAGCAGCUUUCUGGGUGCCUGGCAUACAGUAGGUGCUUAACGAGUGCCGGUUAGUCGGCUUGCUAGAGGAGGGAGCAUUGAAAGCCCUUCCUAGACUGAAUCUCAGAGAAGGCGCUUGCCCUUCCCCCCGCCCCCCCAUGCUGCUCCUGGACCCCGGCGCAGACUGCGCCUUCAGGAAGCCCUGGUGGGAGUGAAACCUCCCGCCCCAGACCUAAGUCCUCUUGACAAAUGGCUAGAAAGACAUUUGCUUCCCAAGUGACAAGUAGCUGAGACAACUCAGCAGGUGUUUGGCAAAGCCUGCUGAAUAAAGCUGAGGUCAAAGCUUCAAAUACCAACAAAUCUCAUAAAUCACAUUCAUCUAACCAUCAGUGCAAGAGAAAAAAGACCCCAUGAAACAAAGACACAGACAACAAUGGUAGUUAAGGUAGGUUAGUUUUCUUGCCAUCAGUGGAAGGAGGGGUUGUAGCUUGAGAGAAAUCACAAACAAAUAAAGCCCUCAUGUAUUCUGGAUUCUUGUGGAGCAUGCUCGCCUUAGCCAGGAUCUGAGGCUCCCAAGGUGUGUUUUAAAGUUGACAGAUUUGACAGAUGUGAAAGGAGUGUAUUUCUGCUGUACUGGAAAAAAAUCACAUUCAAUAACAACUGCUGGACAGUCUUUGCAGAAAGGAGUCCUGUCAACUACCUACCCUGUAUUCUUAGUCACUUAAAAGAAGUUCUGAGUUCUCCUUUGUUUUGGCAUUUUCAGAUCCAGCAUAACUGGGAAAACCUUUUGUCCCAUUGUACUCACUUCAACCUUAUGCAUAGAAAAGCAGAUCUACAUUUUCUAAAGAGGAAGAAGUAGAGAAAGUGUGACCUAAGAAAGCUCUGAGAACCAGGUGACAUGUUGACGGUGACCCAAUACCCAAGAUCAACUUCUAGGCAAAGGAGCACCAUAAGAUGGGAUGUCAACAUUCAUUCUUCAUCAGAAGUAGGAUCAUCAGCUCACUGGUCACACAAAUUCUCAGCAGAGCAACAGGUUUCUUUGAAAAAAAUAUUGUUAUAAAAGGGAGAAAGAAGGAAACAAUAAGCACAUUUCUGCACUGGACCAGAAAGGAUUUGCCUCCAUCACCAUAAGUUACACUAAAAAGACAAAUAGAAAUGAUAUUCCUGAGAAAAGGCAAGACUUGCAGGCUUUCAGGCAAAUGGUUACUGCUAAAACAGGAGUGGCUACUUAAAACAAAAGAGUGAAAACAAACGUGCUUCACAUAAAACAAUAGUUCAAGUAUUAUUCCAGAUAAAAUUUUAAUUCUAAUGCAGGAAAAGAUACCAGGGCAAGUAGGAAACAAAGGCUGCUAUAAGAUUGCUGUUUGCUGGGAUAUGGAGGAAGCUGUCAAUCUGCACACUCACACAUAAGACACUGUGUGGGAUUUCUGAAAAGGGGGAUAAUGACUUGGACACAGUCCAGCAUGAAGACCAAAACCACUGUCUCUGGGAUUGCGCUCUACAGUCAGUGCGUAAAGUGGAACAAGGGAAUACCCAAACCAGGAUGGUAAGAAGCAGCAGACUAGAAUGAGAACCUGUCCUUUCCCCUCGUUCUCUAAGAUCUGACUGGGAGCAGUAUCUCCUGUGUCUUUUUUCAUUAAGUUUCAAUUUGGCUAUAAACAUGAAGCAUAAUUAAAAUGCAGAACUAUAAA